rnacentral:piRNA from 1 species
UCACAUAACCUUUUUGGGUGUACCGUC